rnacentral:lncRNA from 1 species
ACAAUUCAGGCUUGGUCAGAGGGCUCUGGCUGAAAGGGUAAAUUUCUCCUCAAGGGUGACUUUCAGUGUAAUACCUGGGGACAACUGAACUCUCUCCCAAGGGAAGCUCCUGGCGCGCCCGCGUAACCCUUCUGAAAGCCCUUGGCUGGUUUGCAAGUCUUCAAGGCAGUUCUGGAAAUUUCUGCCUUGGUAUCUCAACCACUUGGGAAUAAGCACUGAAACCACGAGUCCUGAAACAUCUUGAUUUGGUGAGAAAUGAACCCUGAUUCUGCGCUGGUGGGGUCCGGUUUCCCUAAAACAUUACAGUUUCUUUAAGACGCUCAACUUGGGAAGGAACCACAAGGCCAAUGAAUCUUUGAAAGAAUUAAGCAAGAGCCCCUAGCAAGACUGCCUCUGACCUGACCAUGUACCCCAAUCCUCUCAUCUAGUCACCUGGCUAUAAACUUGUUCGAAAUCGGGAGCAGAUUUCAGUCACCUUGGGAGAUGAGAUGUUCAGUAGGAAAAAACACCUGGAAUCGGGCAUCUUGAGCAAAGUCAAAAUUUCCAGGUAAAGUCUUUGGAUCAGCACUGGCUUCUCAGAGCUGGCUCUGGCCAGCUCAUCAGCCCCGGCACCACUUAAGCAUCUGACAUCUACACCCAAGCUGCAGGUCCCUGCCCAGAAACAGCUACAAGGAUAGGGGUCCAGGCAGCAAGACUAAAGAGGUCUGGAUUCUGAGUGUGGGAAUAAAGAACAAAGCCAGAGAUUCU